rnacentral:misc_RNA from 1 species
AUGAUUGACCGAAAGGUCUUAUCAACUAUCCAACACCUCUUGUGAACCGUUGACCUCCGGGUCUCUUACAUACAAACAUCAGUGUAACGAACGUCUUGUUAUCUUAACAAAAACA